UACGGAGGAUCCAAGCGUUAUCCGGAUUUAUUGGGUUUAAAGGGUGCGUAGGCGGAACGAUAAGUCAGUGGUGAAAGCCUGCAGCUUAACUGCAGAACUGCCAUUGAUACUGUCGAUCUUGAGUACAUUUGAUGUGGGCGGAAUGUGUCAUGUAGCGGUGAAAUGCUUAGAUAUGACACAGAACACCGAUUGCGAAGGCAGCUCACAAAACUGUAAA
rnacentral:rRNA from 1 species